rnacentral:rRNA from 1 species
AUGAGCUCUUUCUUUUGUUGCAAACUCAGAGAACUGAAAGACUAUUUUUCUGUGGUUCUUGGUGUUGAUCAGGUUCCUCGUGGAAAACCUUACCCUGACAUAUAUCUGGAAGCUGCAAACAGACUAGGUGUAAAUCCAUCAUCAUGCUUGGUCAUAGAAGAUUCUCUUGUUGGAAUCCGGGGUGCCAAGGCUUCUGGGGCAAAGGUAGUCGCUGUUCCAUCACUCCAAACUGAAAAGCAACAUUACUCAAUUGCCGAUCAUGUCCUCUGUUCACUGCUGGACUUCCAUCCUGAACUAUGGGGUCUUCCUCCAUUUGACGAUCGCAUUCAAGGUGCAUUGCCCAUGGAUCCAUUGUACUCAAAUGCUCACAUAGGAAAUGUGAUCUCAAACAAUAUUCAUAUGAUAGUAGCAGGUGAACAUACCUACGACUCUGUUCCUGGCCAAUUAUCAGGAAUUGUUUUUGGUUGGGCCAAGUUAGAACCACAUGGAGUAUCUACGGUGGUUGUCAGCAUUGGGUGGGACAUUUCGCCGCCGGCUGUUGGAAGAGUGAUGCACAUAUGUUUUCUUGAUCCCUGCUGCAAUGCCAAAUCAGGGGAGCCACUUGAGCUACUGUUAGUUGGUUACAUCCGGGAGCUCCAAAGCACGGGAAGUACUACAUCUCAAGCAUUGAGCAUUACUGAGGAAGACCAAAGCAUCGCGAGGGAUGCACUGAACCUCCCAGCCUUCUCCGAACUAGAGGAGCUAACGCUCUUCAGUGCGCCUGGGAAGGAAUCAUCCGAGUGA